ACAAAACAAAAACAUUAGCAGGAAAAACCCAAAAUGGAUACCAGCCAAAAGCCUUACGAUUGAAAAAACCCAUUCAAAGCUCGAAGGGGCCGAAAGAAGGUAGCUUUGAAGCCAGCAAUGGAGAUUCAAACUGAACCUUCUCCAACCUUCAAAGCUCAGAAAACCCUUAACGAUGAUGAAACCAUGCAGACUGAUCCAUCUCUACUAGCUUUGCAACAGGAUCCGGAGCUUCCUCAACCCAGAAACAAGAGGUGUUUCGAUGGCGUCCAUCCAUUGCCAAAGCGUGCGCCGCCCUAUUAACCUCUCUGGGAACAAAACGGUACACAACGUUAUCAAAAGCUCUCUAAUAAUUGAAUAUUUUGCGUAAUCGAUCUAAGGAUAGAUCUGUCCUCUUUGGUCGAGUUUAAUUUUUUGAUAGUUGUCAGGGAGUCUCCUUCCAAGAUAAGUUUACUGAAGCCCAUAUCCUACGCAAAAUAAAGAGCCCUUUCACACAUACGCAUUUCUACAACAAGCACCCAUAAUCUGGCCUUCCGCAUCUCUAGCUAGGACUGCUACAAUAGAUACAUUAGUGUUGCUCAUAAAAGAAGCAUCAAAGUUCAGUUUAAUAUUUCUAACUGUAGGUGGUUGCCACAAAACGUUCAUUGCUACUUCCAGAGGAGAGACAAUAACUUUACUACUGCUAAAAUCCUGAGCAUAGCUCAGAAUAAAGCCCAUAAGUUCACGUAUCCUGAAGUUAAGUCCCUCAUUUACCAACUUAUUCCUUUUAUACCAAAGAGCCCACAAAGAAAUAGUAAUGAGUUUCUUGGACAACAUAUCAGCAGCUAGAAAAUUAUUACAAAUUGUGUUUUCCAUUCGAGGUAUCAAUGCUGGAGUCGAAAGAGAGAUUCAAAAGAACCCAGAGUUGUCUCAAGACGCUACAAGUCCAAAAUAAGUGAUGUGAAUCCUUUGGAGCCUCAUUGCACAAAGGACAG
rnacentral:lncRNA from 1 species